rnacentral:rRNA from 1 species
AGGACGAACGCUGGCGGCGUGCCUAACACAUGCAAGUCGAACGGGGAUUUGUUUCGGCAGAAUCCUAGUGGCGAACGGGUGAGUAACGCGUAGGCAACCUGCCCUCCGGCCGGGGACAACACUCCGAAAGGGGUGCUAAUACCGGAUACGAAGUCUGUGCCGCAUGGUACGGAUUUGAAAGAUGGCCUCUAUUUAUAAGCUAUCGCCGGGGGAUGGGCCUGCGUCCGAUUAGCUGGUUGGUGGGGUAACGGCCUACCAAGGCGACGAUCGGUAGCCGGUCUGAGAGGAUGAACGGCCACAUUGGGACUGAGACACGGCCCAGACUCCUACGGGAGGCAGCAGUGGGGAAUCUUCCGCAAUGGGCGCAAGCCUGACGGAGCAACGCCGCGUGAGUGAGGAAGUUCUUCGGAACGUAAAGCUCUGUUGUUCCUGACGAACCUCCCCUCUAUCAACAACGGAGGGGACUGACGGUAGGGAACGAGGAAGCCACGGCUAACUACGUGCCAGCCGCGGC